GACGAACCGAGCGAACGUUGUUCGGAAUCACUGGGCGUAAAGGGCGCGUAGGCGGUCUGCUAAGCGUGUGGUGAAAGCUCGGGGCUCAACCCCGAGUCGGCCGUGCGAACUGGUGGACUGGAGCAUGUCAGAGGCAGGCGGAAUUCCGGGUGUAGCGGUGGAAUGCGUAGAGAUCCGGAAGAACACCGGUGGCGAAGGCGGCCUGCUGGGACAUUGCUGACGCUGAGGCGCGACAGCGUGGGGAGCAAACAGG
rnacentral:rRNA from 1 species